rnacentral:rRNA from 1 species
GACGAACGCUGGCGGCGUGCUUAACACAUGCAAGUCGAACGGAGAUUCCCUACGGUAGUUUUCGGCUCGAAGACCGUAAUUCUUAGUGGCGGACGGGUGAGCUACGCUUGGGCAACCUGUACCUUCCAGGGGGUUAGCAGCAGGACGGGGAUGGUAUGCCGCCACAUGUUGGUUGUUUGGCAUGUUCGGCUCGGGAAAUUGGCAUUCCGGUAUAGGAUGGUCUUGCGUCCGAUUAGCCUGAUGGCAGGGUAAAAGCCUACCAAAGCGACGAUCGGUAGCCGGACUGAUAGGUCGGACGGCCACGUUGGGACUGAGACACGGCCCAAACUCCUACGGGAGGCAGCAGUAGGGGAUAUUGCACAAUGGAGGAAACUCUAAUGCAGCGACGCCGCGUGAGUGAAGAAGUAUUUCGGUAUGUAAAGCUCUAUCAGCAGGGAAGAUGAUGACGGUACCUGGCUAAGAAGCCCCGGCUAACUACGUG